AUGUCCUCAGUGGAAAGCAAAGGAGUUGGACACCAUGAGGGAAAUGCUUCAACCAGCAAUGUCCAUGGGCUAAAAGUGGGGUGCCCUUGGGAACAUCGGUGCCUCACUUUUCUUCACACAGGGUGGAGGACCGCCCAGUUAGCUGGGGUGUUGGAAUUCCUGAGCGGUCCCCAGCACCGGCCCCCAGCACAGGGACCCAACAGGACUGCUACUUGUGGAGGUAGACACCCAGCUACAGAGCUUGGGCCGUCCAUGCGUCUCCAUCACCGUCCUCCCACAGCCAGUCUAACCAUGGGCCUCUCUGUGACCAGAGGACAGAGGGAAAGCACGCUCCUUCCAUGCCCAGGAGCAGGAGAGAUCUAUUUUAGGAAAAGGGUGGUGGGGGUGGCCAGACAGGCCAGGAGAACCCAAGGGCAGGGGCCUGGCAUGGCUUUCUCAGAAAGCCCACAUAAUUGCCAUGUGAUUCUACAAGCUCACAGGGAGCCCAGAGGCCCAUGGCACAUCCUCUCUCUGCCCGCAGCCUCUGCUUCUGUCCAAGGACUCUUUGAGCCUGUGGAAGCUGCCCAGGAAGCCAGCCUUGCACUUCCUGGCCAGGCCACUAGGACUCUAUGUCACUUAUGGUGGCUAUGGGAGCCCUGCCCUGGUGCAUCCCUGCACGCAGCAUGAGCCCGCAGACUCCUCAGCAAGGCCCCUCCUGCACCCUGACAUUGCUGACUCCUGUUCUAUUGGGAAGACGUGGCGAAAUGGCAGAGCUGGCUUAUUACUCUGGGGAUGAUCCCCUCCUGUCCCCGGCCCGGGCCUCACUCCCCGCUGACUACCAGGAAAUUGGGAAGCUGAGCAGUCACACCGGAUGUUCCUCAACAUCUUCUGUUCUUGAACCAGAGAAUCACUCUGAAGAUGUUACAUUUGGCUUCAAGGGAAAAAGGGAGAAUUUCAAGCAAAGCCCAGGAUGAUUUGAGCCAAGGUGAUGUUUUCCCAGGGGAAAUAGUUUAACUCAUUUUUAUUGUCUACCUG
rnacentral:lncRNA from 1 species